AAAAUUUUUAACCCUGAAAACUCAAAACCUGAAAAGACUCUAACCGGACUCGAAAAUGUACCCGAAUGUCCACCUUUUAAAUAUAUAUUAAUAAAUUUAAUAUAUAUCUCUUUCCGUGUAGGGUGUGGGUCAUCAGCUAGUUAUAUUUUAAUCCAUUAUGGAAAAAAAAAUGGAGUUUUACAUUGAAAAUGCUCAAAGAGACAAAAACAAAGAACAGAACAAAGUUUAAGAAAUCUAGAUGGUAAUGAAAUUAAAAAGGAGAAAAUCAAGGUGUCACGUAAGUAAUGGAAAAUUGUCGCUGUAAAACGCCCGCCAACUAAACUAAAACUCGCCAUCAGUCCUUGAACAGGCUCACCACGUGCAUUCUACGCGCCACCACACCACGUCAAAGCAAAGAGAAGUUUUCCAUAUACAAACCUUAUUUUACAGCCGAUAACCAUUAACCAACCGUUGUUCAAAAAAAGAAAACCAUUAACCAACCACCACAGACAACCAUAUCUGUCAAGAUCAGAGUCAGCGGAGUCCGAUUUGAGAUUCUCAGCUUUAAAUCUUAGAUUUGAAGCUCUAUUUAAAAUUGAAAACCAUUUAGAAAUAGAAAACAUCUAAAACAGCUAGAACACAAGAUCGUCUUCUCACAGUACGACCGUCAUCUAGAGAAAGUGACAAACUUUAUUUUUCUCGCUCUCUGUUUCUUAGCAAUGCCGUGGAUAUUAAAUUACGCUUGACCUUUAUUUUUUCUUGUCGUUAUUACUCUACUAUCUAUACUAUACUAAAAGCAAGAUAUCCUCAAUGGAAAGGAUGCCACCUAAGAUUAAAAAUUCGGACCAAUUAGAAGUUGUUUUUCUGCCAUGUCAUUUAAGUAGACUUAUAAUGGGUUUUGUUUAAAUAAUAAUUCAGCCCAGCCCCACUCUUUUUAAAAACUCUUUUACGGCUUAGCUUUGAGAGUCAUAACUCUUCCACUUCUCUCUUUUCCGAUCUAUGAGUUUUAGCUUUACUUUGAUCUCUUCUGAUCAAUCAAUGAUUUGCAUUCCUAAUUGUCGUCUUCAAAACUGUAACUUCUAUAUGACGAUUCACUUUUCACGUAAUCCUCCACUAUAUAUACGAUGCUCCAGAUUUACACGGCUGCGAUAUAUAUUCAUCACUCUUCACCACAUAUACCUCUAUAUGAGUGACUCUUAAAAGUCCCUAAACCCAUCAACGCAACAAUCUCUCCCACCGUCUUUUUCCGAUGACCUGGUCCCCAUAUCCUCCCAGAACCGGAUGCUAAUUGGUCUUCAACUAAUCUUCAUCGACGAGAAGAUAUUCAAUUUCGAUUCCUUGAGCUUAAACCUGUAUUAAUUGUUUGAUCUAAGGUUUGCACUUUUAAUUGUUAUUAUUGUGCAGUGUUUGGGUUGCAAGAAGACCACCUGGUUACGCUUUUCUUGAUUUUGAAGACUCAAGGGACGACCGCGACGCCAUCCGUGACUUAGAUGGCAAGAAUGGAUGGAGAGUAGAGCAGUCUCAUAACCGUGGCGGUGGUGAAGGCCAUGGUGGUGGUCGUGGAGGAGGUGAUGGUGGUCGUGGCAGUGUUUCGGUUGCAAGAAGACCACCUGGUUAUGCUUUUCUUGAUUUAGAAGACUCAAGGGACGCCCGCGACGCCAUCCGUGACUUAGAUGGCAAGAAUGGAUGGAGAGUAGAGCAGUCUCAUAACCGUGGCGGUGGUCGUGGAGGAGGUGAUGGUGGUCGUGGCCGUGGUGGUUCUGAUUUGAAGUGCUAUGAGUGUGGCGAGUCUGGUCACUUUGCAUGUGAAUGCCGCUCCUGUGGUGGUGGUGGCGGCUUUAGGAGGGGUCGAAGUCCUUCUCCUCGUGGUCGCAGCCGUAGCCGAAGUCCUCCAAGAUACAGAAAGAGCCCAACCUAUGGAGGGCACAGGUUCUUUGUUAUUUGACAUAUAUAUAUAUAUAUAUAUAUAUUUUAGCGAAAAAAGAACUAGGUGUUCUUAGAAAUAAAUAAUCUGUCAGAUAAGUUAUUUUCUGAUGAACGAUCACCUUUGUGUGGUCAAUUAAGAAACAAAAUGAAAAGGGGAAGGGUGGGCAUUCAAAAAAUUGAAGUUGGGACCAAUACCACCUAAAAUGAGUUCUGCAUCACUCCAAAUACGUAAGAACAAUACUAGGGAAAAAAACAAAGAAAAGAUUAAACUACAUUUUUUCCGUAACAGAAUAUUAAACUACAUUUCCAGUAUUAGUUAGAGUGUCAGUCAUAUUAGUUAUUUUUGGAUUCCGAAUUGAAAUAUAUCUUAUAGCUACACAACAUCUGUUAAAUGGGACAAAGAUUAUAAUUUCAUGUUACAGUUACAUAUACAGUAGAAUUUCUAUAAAUUAAUACUCGAUAAACUAAUAAACACGAUAAAUUAAUUAAAAAAUUCAAUUCCGAGUUGGCCAUAUUCAAAAAACGACACAAAUCGAUAAAAUAAUAAAAUAAUAAUUUUUUUUAUAAAAUCUAAUGUAAAUAUAUAAUUCUAUUAUAGUCAUAAAUUAAUAAUUCAUAUAUAUAGUGUUUAUAUAACUACAAACAAAUCAUUCUAUUAUUUGUUUUAUAUUCACAGUGAUGUUCUAUUUUAUUUUUCUUAAUAGUUCAAUAUAUUUUGAUAAUAUUUGGUAAAAUUAUAUCUAAAACUACAUUUAAAUUAUAUGAAACAUAUCGUACACACCAAAUAGUAUAACAAAAUAAAAUAAGUGUAAUUUUUCAAAAUUUAAUUAAUAUAU